UUAAUGCUAGAAAAGACACAUAAUGAAUACAGCAAGAUAAUAUAACUUAGCUACUAUUUUGGCUAGCUGUGUUCUAUUUACUACUUCACAAGAGAUGUGUUGGGAGUGCAGUACUGAUAAGGAAUAAAGAAGAGUACAUUUCAACAAAAUUAAAGAGUCAGCCUUUUCCAGGAGGAUUAUAAACAACUUGCCCAACAUGACAGUUUGGGAAGUUUUAUCGUGUGUGCGCCCAAGAAAUAUGAGGGAAGUCCUGUUCUUGAGUAUUCCAACAUGUUUUCUUAUUGCAGUGUGGCUUACAGGUGAAUCUAUCACCAUCACCACUGAUCCUUCAGUUGCCCUUGUUGGUGAGCAAGUAACUCUGUCUUGCCAGCUGACUCCCAGAAUCCUCUCCAACGCAAGUGUGCUUUGGUACAAAGAGGAAAAGGGAAGAGAUGCUCCACUCUGCUCUUCCUCCAGCCUGGAUGGGGAGGUGGAACAGUGCCAGGAUGAAGAACAGUGCAGGAUUAAAGGGCACUGGGAGAGAAGAAGAUUUCUCCUGACUAUCCAAAAAGCGCAAAUAGCUGACAGCGGGGUGUACAUUUGUGCUGUAAGUGGCAACG